GCCGCCGUAGCUCAGCUGGCCAGAGCGCCGCUCUUGUAAAGCGGAUGUCGGGAGUUCGAAUCUCCCCGGCGGCU
rnacentral:tRNA from 1 species